rnacentral:rRNA from 1 species
CAGCCGCCGCGGUAAAACGUAGGUCCCGAGCGUUGUCCGGAUUUAUUGGGCGUAAAGCGAGCGCAGGCGGUUUGAUAAGUCUGAAGUUAAAGGCUGUGGCUCAACCAUAGUUCGCUUUGGAAACUGUUUAACUUGAGUGCAAGAGGGGAGAGUGGAAUUCCAUGUGUAGCGGUGAAAUGCGUAGAUAUAUGGAGGAACACCGGUGGCGAAAGCGGCUCUCUGGCUUGUAACUGACGCUGAGGCUCGAAAGCGUGGGGAGCAAACAGGAUUAGAUACCCCAGUAGUCCCUGUCUCUUAUACA